UCCCUCCCCCGGAAGUAGGGCCUGAUGUAAACACCCGAGCCGGGCUCCAAGGCCCGGGAGGUCAGAAAACCGGGCCGCGGGCGGCACCGACAGCUGGGGCCCGGGUCAGGGACACGCGGAGGUCAGGCCGGUGAAGGCGGCAGGAAGCUGGAGCACGACCCCAGGGGGAACAAUCCUGCACCAUGACUCAACAGCCACUUCGAGGAGUGACCAGCCUGCGUUUCAACCAAGACCAAAGCUGCUUUUGCUGCGCCAUGGAGACAGGUGUGCGCAUCUACAACGUGGAGCCCUUGAUGGAGAAGGGGCAUCUGGACCACGAGCAGGUGGGCAGCAUGGGCUUGGUGGAGAUGCUGCACCGCUCCAACCUUCUGGCCUUGGUGGGCGGUGGUAGUAGUCCCAAGUUCUCAGAGAUCUCAGGUAAGUGCCCUCAUCCUGCCCUUUGGCCCAGAUUUCUCGGAUUCCUGGCCUCCCACAGGCACCCCAAGGUACUGGCAGAUGAAGACGUCAGAGUACUUCAGAGUCACACAGAGAGGAGGCCUACAGCUUGGAAGUCAUGGAUCUUAUAGCUUGAGAAGCUUGGUGCUUUGUUUUCAUUUUAAAAAUGCUGAUUGAGUGCCUCCUGUGUGCCAUGCCCUAGAGCACUUACUGUGAGCCUGGGACUGCCCUAAGCACUUUACGUUUAUUAACUCAUUUAAUCCUCACAGUAACUCUAUGGGGUAGGAAGGAUCAUUAUCCCCAUCUUUACCGAUGAGGAAACUGAGGCCCAGUGCAGUUAAGUGACUCAUCCAAGGUCACACAAGCAAUAGGUUUUAAAAUCUUGGAGCCGUCUUCCCAAUACCCCCUUGGCUUGAGCCUCAAGUGCCAUCUUACUUUAAGGGUUUUUCUUGAUGAUCCCAUCUGAACAAGGCAGGAGUUGCCCUAGGUGAGUCACAGAGCCCUAGGAUUCCUCACGGAAAUCUCCAGGGUGCGUGGACUAGGACCCUGGA
rnacentral:sRNA from 1 species